UAAAAAUCACUUUACAGUCUCCCUCUUCUGCAAUUUCCAUUUCUGUUCUCUAAUCACGGAUUUCAUAAUGGGGAGAUUUGACGAUCUACCAAAAGAGAUCGUGCUAGACAUUUUAAUUAGGUUACCAACCGAAUCUAUUUUGGAGUCUAAAAUGGUGUGCAAACCUUGGAGAGAUCUUCUUCGCCAACCAUCAUUCUCUAAGUUACACUUCAAUCACCACCAUCUUGAUUCUGGUAAGCCGAUUUUUUUUUUCCGAUGAACAACAAGGGCAUACGGAAGUUUACUUUAGUGAGUAUGAUGAGAAUUGUCAUGAGGCACACUUCCAUAGAUAUACAAGGAUGAAUUUAAGACUUCCAUUUAACAAUUCUUCUAUUGCUGGUUCAUGCAAUGGCUUGAUCUGCUUCAAUGUAUGGGUUAGAGGUCAUUUUACUUUUGGACCUGGUUAUAUAUGUAAUCCAAUCACCAGGGAAUACAUUAUUCUUCCAAAAGUUGAAGAGUUUUAUAGGUGGACUGGAUUUGGUUACUUCCUUCAACCAAUGAGUACAAGGUUGUUAGGAUAAACCUCUGUAGGGCAAUCCCAAAUGCUGAUAUGGAUAAAGGAAUUUUUGAGGUAUACACUCUUGGAAGUGUUAAAGGAUGGAGAAAUGUGGGAACUAUGGACGUCCAGAUGCGAUUUUUUGAAUAAAAUGCUGGUGUCUUUGCAAAUGGAGCUCUUCAUUGGGUGGACGAUGUUGGAACCGUUAUUCUUGCUUUCCAUUUGGCUGAUGAAAAGUUUACUUAUCUUCCACCACCACCUCCUUGUUUGACACGAGUUGUUGAUCCACGUUUUGGUACUCAACUAGGGGUUUUGGGAGAUUGUUUAAGUGCUACUUAUUAUCCCAAUGUCAAUCGUAGUGAAAUAUGGUUAGUGAAGAAGAAUAAAGAUAAUAAUGACUUGAGAUGGAGUAAAGAGUUUUGUUUCGACAGUCACAUAUCGUGCCCAUUUGAGUUAACAAAGAGUGGUAGGAUUCUGUGCUACGGAGAUAAGAAAAUUUAUAGUUAUGAUUCAAAAGCUUCGUCUGCCGAAAUGAAUGUGAGUUUUGGCAAGUUUAUUUCUGAAGCAAUACCUCACAAGAAUACUUUAGUUUCAUUUAAAGUAUUAGGAGAAAAGGAUACAAAAACAAUGGAAUCAGGUGAAAGAGCUAGUUCAAGAGAGGAGACAGGAAACGCUGAGAAACUGAAGAAGCUGCAAAUCGGAGUCAGGGAUCACUAGGUAAGUGUCAUGAUAAUACUCCUUCCUUGAAAUUUUAAGCAUUUUGUGAUUAGAUAAUGAUCAAUCUUUCUGAAUCUAAUUACUUGACAAUAUGUGAUGAUAUUAUACCAUGUAUGAAUUACUCUUAUCGAUUUUUAUUGCCAUGUUUAUCAAGCAUUUUGUGAUUUGGUUUAGUUAGUAUUUAUAGAGAAUGUAACGCGAACUUUUAAAAGCUUAUUUACUUGUAUCAUAUAGAAUUAAAAUUGGAGUCUGACAAGUAUAUGCAGGAAAUACUGUAGAAAACUGAAAGCUUCACCAGUAGUAUUAGGCUUCUAACCCUUCUAGGAAAUCUGUUUGGUUGUUAGUUCUCAGCUUAUUUAUGCUUUUCGUACUGUAAUUUCGAGAUUUAGUUUAUGAUUUGAGUUGCUUUAUUUGUUCAGUUGAAGAAAGAAUUCAGAUAAGAAACAAGAGAAACGUGUCUUCAUUAUAGUAAGUAAACCUAAUAAGAAAAAGAACACUAGCAGGCAGUAGGCAAAACCUUGUCACAUUAUACGAAGGGGGUGAUAUUGUUUAGAAAGAGAAAGGAACUUUUACUUUGAAUUCUGAAAACAUUUUCCGUGAGACCUAAUUGUUUAUACAUGCUUUUUGUUGUAACCAUUGAGUUCAAGUGUUAAGUCUAUGUUCCUGCAAUUCAAGUAAGAUACUUCUCACUCUGCCAACAUUUGUAUGACAAAUUUAUGCUGCCGAAGUGAGGAUUUAGGCAUCCUUUUUUCGUUAGAUGAGUUCCCUCACAGUAUGUUACAACACGUUAUUGGUAAAUGAAGUUUUGUCCUCUUGUUUAAAUGGUUUGCUGUUUUCGGUUUGAUGAGAUGUCUCAUGAUAAUCUAUUUCGAAAUGUUAUAGUUAUUCAGUGGCGUGCUUUACCUAUUAGGAGUAAGAGCUAGAAGUUGCAGUUUGUGAGAGCUUUCAUUCCGACCAUGUUUAUAGCAAUAUGAGUUUUAGUGCUAAUGUGGAUGAUGAGGAUUGUUUGUUCUAAUGGUAACCAUGGGACUCGGUCUUAGAGUGAGCCCCAAUACUACGCUUAGUGUGAGCCUAAUGUCAAGCUCAAUCUUAGGUAUCAUAUGUCGUCGGCCAUUGAGAUAGAGUCAGUCUGAUUCAUAAUUUGAAUCUCUAUCUGCCCCAAUUGGUUUUUGUAAGUUAUCCAAUACAAGCGCUAUAAUUUGUGGCUAUCUAUACUACAGGUUCACCGCUAAGCUAAAGCAAAUUUAUUGACUACUAACCUUUCCUGUUUUGAAGCAUCUCUCAUUCAUGCUUAGACAAAUUCAAUGUCAUACGAUCAUGUGUGACAGAAUUGAGCUAUGUUGCUAUGGGACAGAAGCAGGCUUCAAUUUUGCUGGGAGGUCGAAUUACAGUCUCCCUCGUCUUAGACUGAUCUAUGUGUGCUGGGAGGUCUAAUUACAGUAGCCAGUGCUUUCUAGUGAGCUUUAACCUAUCUUAAAGGAAAUUAGGAGGAUGUGAUCUGUGGGUGCAUUACCCGCUAUUUUGGGUAACAGCAUCAAGUUGGUGCUUAAAUGUGAGAUCUUGAAGUUGAAUACUUAUCUCAGGUUUAUCAAUUAUCUCUCGUGUUAGACUAGUUGUCUUAUUUAGAACUUCAGAAAGCACGACUGAAGCCAAAGAUUCCAAGAACUAGUAAAUUAGCUUUUUUAAAGCUUUUCUUCUGGUUUAAUGUUCCAAUUCUAUUUGCCAUUUGUCUUGUUUGGAUUGUUGUGCACUAGCAGCAUUGUCGAAGAAAAUUUUUAGGUGCAACUUAUUUGGUCAAUGAUGGUUAAUUGGUCAGCCAUGUGUUCAGCAAAGUAUACACACUUGCCAAAGGCUUUAUCGUGUGUGGCUCAUGCGAACCCACGCAAGGGAUUAGAUUUUCCUAGAGGGUGAAUUUGGGAAAUGUGGUACAACAAAAGAUUCGACUUAUUUUUCUAGAAUUUGGAGAAAAAAUAGAGUCGACAGGGGUUGAAGAAAUUGAAGUGUCGGUUAUUGAUUUAUACAUCGAAUAUUUUUUUUUAUAGCUUGGUACAGUGGUCUCUAGACUACUCCUAAAUCUCAUUCAUUUAUGCAUCGAAUAUAAGGUGACGAUAAUUAAAGGUUUCCAUAUCGAGUAUUUUUGUACUAAUUAACGGAUAAAUAUGUUCUAAAUUCUCA